rnacentral:sRNA from 1 species
UCUUCCGCUUUUUUUUUUGGUUUUG